GUUUGAUCAUGGCUCAGAUUGAACGCUGGCGGGAUGCUUUACACAUGCAAGUCGAACGGCAGCACGGACUUCGGUCUGGUGGCGAGUGGCGAACGGGUGAGUAAUGUAUCGGAACGUGCCUAGUAGCGGGGGAUAACUACGCGAAAGCGUAGCUAAUGCCACAUACGCCCUUCGGGGGAAAGCGGGGACCUUCGGGCCUCUGCACUAUUGGAAGCGGCCGAUAUCGAGUUAGCCUUAGUUGGUGGGAAUGGCUCACCAAGGCGACGAUCCGUAGCUGGUUUGAGAGGACGACCAGCCACACUGGGACUGAGACACGGCCCAGACUCCUACAGGAGGCAGCAGUGGGAAUUUUUGGACAAUGGGAAACCCUGAUCCAGCCAUCGUGUGCGAUGAAGGCCUUCGGGUUGUAAAGCACUUUUGGCAGGAAGCAGCACGGGUUAAUACCCCGUGCAACUGACAGUACCUGCAGAAUAAGCACCGGCUAACUACGUGCCAACAGCCGCGGUAAUACGUAAGUGCGGCGUUAAUCGGAAUUACUGGGCAUAAAGCGUGCGCAGGCGGUUCGGAAAGAAAGAUGUGAAAUCCCAGAGCUUAACUUUGGAACUGCAUUUUUAACUACCGAGCCUAGAGUGUGUCAGAGGGAGGUGGAAUUCCGCGUGUAGCAGUGAAAUGCGUAGAUAUGCGGAGGAGGAACACCGAUGGCGAAGGCAGCCUCCUGGGAUAACACUGACGCUCAUGCACGAAAGCGUAGAACAGAAGCAGAAUUAGAUACCCUGGUAGUCCACGCCCUAAACGAUGUCAACUAGCUGUUGGGGCCUUCAGGGCCUUGGUGGCGCAACUAACGUGAAGUGGCCCGCCUGGGGGAAGUACGGUCGCAAGAUUAAAACUCAAAGGAAUUAGCGAGGACCCGCACAAGCGGUGGAUGAUGUGGAUUAAUUCGAUGCAACGCGAAAAACCUUACCUACCCCUGACAUGUGAGAUCCCGAAGAGAUUUGGGAGUGCUCGCAAGAGAACCGGAACAGGUGCUGCAUGGCUGUCGUCAGCUCGUGUCGUGAGAUGUUGGGUUAAGUCCCGCAACGAGCGCAACCCUUGUCAUUAGUUGCUACGAAAGGGCACUCUAAUGAGACUGCCGGUGACAAACCGGAGGAAGGUGGGGAUGACGUCAAGUCCUCAUGGCCCUUAUGGGUAGGGCUUCACACGUCAUACAAUGUGGUCGGGACAGAGGGUCGCCAACCCGCGAGGAGGAGCCAAUCCCAGAAACCCGAUCGUAGUCCGGAUCAUGAUCUGCAACUCGACUGCGUGAAGUCGGAAUCGCUAGUAAUCGCGGAUCAGCAUGUCGCGGUGAAUACGUUCCCGGGUCUUGUACCCACCGCCCGUCACACCAUGGGAGUGGGUUUUACCAGAAGUAGUUAGCCUAACCGUAAAGGAGGGCGAUUACCACAUUAGGAUUCAUGACUGGGGUGAAGUCGUAACAAGGUA
rnacentral:rRNA from 1 species